rnacentral:rRNA from 1 species
AUGCCACAUAUCUGUCCGUGCUUAAUCUCUCUCCCCUUGUUUCAUAUGCUGCAGUUUCUUCUUCUUCCUCUGAUCCGCAAGAUCAUGGCCGAAUCACUGCUUCUCCCUUUGGUGCGCGGUGUGGUCGGCAAGGCCACGGACGCGCUCGUCCAGACCAUGCCCCGCAUGUGUGGCCUCGAUGACGACCGCGAAACGCUCAAGCGCCAUCUGCUAGCCGUGGAGUGCAUGCUGGCCGAUGCUGAGGAAAGGAGCCAGACAAAUGCCUACCUCAAGAGCUGGAUGGAGAAGCUCAAGGCCGUUGCCUACGAGGCCGACGACGUCCUCGACGACUUCCAGUACGAGGCGUUGCGCCGUGAAGCCCAGAUCGGCAAGUCCACUUCCCGUAAGAUACUAGGCUACGUCACACGCCACAGCCCGCUCCUCUUCCGUUUUUCCAUGAGCAGGAAACUCGAGGGUGUCCUCGAUAAGAUCAAGGAGCUGGUUGUGGAGAUGAACAUGUUUCGCCUUGAGGAUUCAGUGAAUCGGGAGGAACGGCAACGUCCUCGGAAGCAGACGCACUCCGGACUGGAUGAGUCUGCCGAGAUCUUUCGAAGAGGUGUUGACAAGGAGGGGGUGGUGAAGUUGCUGCUAGAUCAGCCAGAUCAGCGGAAGGUACAGGUGCUACCCAUCUUUGGUAUGGGAGGUCUUGGCAAGACAACUCUUGCGAAGAUGGUGUAUAAUGAUCAAGGGGUCCAACAACAUUUCCAGUUGAAGAUGUGGCAUUGCGUGUCAGACAAUUUUGGUGUUAUUGCUAUUGUGAAAUCCAUCAUUGAAUUGGUCACAAAUGAAAGAUGUGGCCUGCCUGACAGUGUCGAACUAUUGCGGCAGAAACUUGUUGAAGUCAUCAGCCAGAAAAGAUUUGUACUUGUUCUCGAUGAUGUAUGGAAUGAAGAGAAGAGUUUGUGGGAGGAUGAACUGAAACCACUGUUGUGUUCUAUUGGUGGACCAGAAAGUGUCAUAGUGGUCACAUGUCGAAGCAAGCAAGUGGCCUCUAUAAUGUCCACCCUUAAGCCCCAUGAGCUAGCAUUUCUGAGUGAAGAAGAUUCAUGGAAACUGUUUUCAAACAAAGCAUUUAGCAAUGGUGUAGAGGAGCUAACAGAGUUAGUCACAAUCGAAAGACAUAUUGUCAACGAAUGCAGCGGGCUGCCUCUUGCUUUGAAGACAAUGGGUGGUUUGCUGAGUUCAAAGCAACAGGUACAUGAAUGGAAAACCAUCGCAAAAACUAACAUUGGGGAUAAUGAGGUCAUGCCCAUACUAAAGUUAAGCUACAAACACUUAUCAUCUGAAAUGAUAAUGAGGUCAACUUAA